GGGGAAUCUUAGACAAUGGGCGCAAGCCCGAUCUAGCCAUGCCGCGUGAGCGAUGAAGGCCUUAGGGUUGUAAAGCUCUUUCGCUGGGGAAGAUAAUGACUGUACCCAGUAAAGAAGCCCCGGCUAACUCCGUGCCAGCAGCCGCGGUAAUACGGAGGGGGCUAGCGUUGUUCGGAAUUACUGGGCGUAAAGCGCGCGUAGGCGGAUUGGAAAGUUGGGGGUGAAAUCCCGGGGCUCAACCUCGGAACUGCCUUCAAAACUCCCAGUCUUGAGUUCGAGAGAGGUGAGUGGAAUUCCGAGUGUAGAGGUGAAAUUCGUAGAUAUUCGGAGGAACACCAGUGGCGAAGGCGGCUCACUGGCUCGAUACUGACGCUGAGGUGCGAAAGCGUGGGGAGCAAAC
rnacentral:rRNA from 1 species